rnacentral:rRNA from 1 species
GUCUAUGGCCAUGCUUUCCUGAACAAGCCCCAUCCCAUCUGAUCUCGGAAGCUAAGCAGGGUCGGGCCUGGUUAGUACUUGAUGGGAGACCACCUAGGAAGACAAGGUGCUGUAGGUG